rnacentral:lncRNA from 1 species
UAAGUCAGCUAUACCGUGUGAUGCGUUUUCAGAUUCAUCACUCAACAACUUCCUGUUAACCAAACACUUUGCAAAGAACUUUUGAAUUUUCCAUUUGAUUUUGGGACUUUCCUUUUUGAAUUUUUCCCGGAGUUCAGUAUUUUUGUGUUUUUACAUUUUACAUAUUUUUACACUAUUAAGAUUAUCCAGUUGCAGCGGGAGUAUCAUCAGUGAACAGUAGCUCGCAGUUUCAAUUGCUUGACAGCAUGUCUAUUAAAGAAUCACUUUCCAAAAUUUUCAACUCGUAUUGCACAGUCACGGCUGAAAAGAUCUAACGUAUUGCCAUUUAUCUAUUGAUUGUUGAAUUUUCAUUGGUUUUCACCAGGCGUUUACCUUAUAACGUUUAUUGUUUUUUUAAUUUUAGUUAUGAGUCUUGUUCUUAAAUAGAUAUAUUGCUUUUAAGUUAUAAUGGUAAGCCUGCCUUUUUCUUUAUCACCAAUGAUUUUGUGGACGUGUUAAAUAUGUUGUACUUAAAAAUAUGAGAUAAUUUUAGUUUUUUUUCGAAUUCAAAAAGUAUAACAUGUACAUAUUUGAAACUGUUUUGAACUUCAAAUAUGAAAAACAUUUGUUAUUAUGUUCAUUUGAAUGUUUAAAAUUUUAAACUGCUAUUCUACCAGGAAACAUGAUGAUUUGUAAAUUUUAAAAAUUAAACAAUAUGAAGCCUUUAUGAUCACAGCGUCCACUCGUCAUUACAUUUAUAUGAUGAAUCGCAGUUAAUCUAUGCAUGAAACCUGAUUAUAGGUGCAAAUGUAAAUACCUAUUUAUGAACUUAUGAACUUACUUCGUUUUUAAUUUACUCUAAUUAUUAUAAUAUAUACGAGUCUAAAUUGAAAACUACGUUCAAACCUA